rnacentral:rRNA from 1 species
UACGAGGGGGGCAAGCGUUGUUCGGAAUUAUUGGGCGUAAAGGGUGCGUAGGCGGUUUGGUAAGUCUGAUGUGAAAUCUAUGGGCUCAACUCAUAGUCUGCAUCGGAAACUGCCGGGCUUGAGUGUGGGAGAGGUGAGUGGAAUUCCUGGUGUAGCGGUGAAAUGCGCAGAUAUCAGGAGGAACACCGGUGGCGAAGGCGGAUCUCUGGGCCGAUACUGACGCUGAGGAGCGAAAGCGUGGGGAGCGAACAGG